GGGGCUUUAGUUUAAUAAAAAUAUAUGUUUUGCAUACAUAAGAUUAUAGCUCUA
rnacentral:tRNA from 1 species